GGGGGUGAAAUGGUUUCGACGGGGAUAGUGAGGGCCGGAUAAGCGAGCCGAAGCCCCGAGCUUCGUUAAAAGCGGGAAAACUGUUAAAUAUAACAGACAACAACUACGCACUUCCUGUCGCUGCCUAAGCGCGUGACAGCGUCCGACUGAGAAGACCUAUCGUCUCAGAUACGGGCGUCAUUCAGGAUAGGGAACGAACCCGGGUAAGCUUUGCCCCGGGCCGGACUUUAUGAAGCUACCGGAUCGGUGAUCCCGCCGUUGGGAGCGCCGCCAGGGGAAUACUUGUACGACGGCUACGCUCGUAGAAAGUUGGGUCAUCAUGUCUUCGGACGGGAGUUCGACUCUCC
rnacentral:tmRNA from 1 species